rnacentral:rRNA from 2 species
UCUGGUGACAAUGGCAAGGAGGUCACACCUGUUCCCAUGCCGAACACAGAAGUUAAGCUCCUUAGCGCCGAUGGUAGUCGGACUGACGUUC